rnacentral:rRNA from 1 species
CGUCUUCUAAUUAAAGACGCGCAUGAAUGGACUAAUGAGAUUCCCACUGUCCCUAGUUACUGUCCGGCGAACCGACAGUCAAGGGAACGGUCUUGAGAUCUUCAGCGGGGAAAGAAGACCCUGUUGAGUUUGACUCUAAUCUGACUCUGUGCAGUGACAUCCGAGGUGUAGCAUAGGUGGGAGGUGUGUAACAAUACCAGCCGUGAAAUACCACUACUCGGGUCGUUGCUUUACUCAUCGCAUUAAAUGGGGACGGCGGUGGUCUUCUUUCGGGAAGAUGGUUUACUCCCAGCCGUGAGAACCUUUGUGUUCUUCGGUUGUACCUACCCGUUUCUGAGUAAUAAGCGUGCCCUUCAGAGGCUUGCGCGACCCAUUGCUGCGAGACAUUGGUCAGACCGGGAGUUUGGCUGGGGC